CCAAUAGCGUAUAUUAAAGUUGUUGCAGUUAAAAAGCUCGUAGUUGAACUUCGGGGUCUACCCAUUGGUCAGGCUUAAUUGUCUGCACUGGUGAGAUGGAUCUCUACCUUCUGAGGAACUUUCAUGCCAUUUAUUUGGUGUGAUGGGAAAUCAGGACUGUUACUUUGAAAAAAUUAGAGUGUUUAAAGCAGACUAUCGUCUGAAUACAUUAGCAUGGAAUAAUGAAAUAGGACGGACUGAUUCUAUUUCGUUGGUUUCUAGGAUCACCGUAAUGAUUAAUAGGGAUAGUUGGGGGCAUUAGUAUUCAAUUGUCAGAGGUGAAAUUCUUGGAUUUAUUGAAGACUAACUACUGCGAAAGCAUUUGCCAAGGAUGUUUUCAUUAAUCAAGAACGAAAGUUAGGGGAUCGAAGACGAUCAGAUACCGUCGUGGUCUUAACCAUAAACUAUGCCGACUAGGGAUCGGACGAAGUUAAUUUUAUAAUGACGCGUUCGGCACCUUACG
rnacentral:rRNA from 1 species